rnacentral:rRNA from 1 species
GAUUAGAGUUUGAUCCUGGCUCAGAUUGAACGCUGGCGGCAUGCUUUACACAUGCAAGUCGAACGGUAACAGGGAGCUUGCUCCGCUGACGAGUGGCGAACGGGUGAGUAAUGCAUCGGAACGUACCCAGUCGUGGGGGAUAACGUAGCGAAAGUUACGCUAAUACCGCAUACGUCCUGAGGGAGAAAGCGGGGGACCGAAAGGCCUCGCGCGAUUGGAGCGGCCGAUGUCGGAUUAGCUAGUUGGUAGGGUAAAGGCCUACCAAGGCGACGAUCCGUAGCGGGUCUGAGAGGAUGAUCCGCCACACUGGGACUGAGACACGGCCCAGACUCCUACGGGAGGCAGCAGUGGGGAAUUUUGGACAAUGGGCGCAAGCCUGAUCCAGCCAUGCCGCGUGAGUGAAGAAGGCCUUCGGGUUGUAAAGCUCUUUCAGGUGGAAAGAAAACGCAUGGGUCAAUACCCUGUGUGGAUGACGGUACCAUCAGAAGAAG